rnacentral:rRNA from 1 species
AUGGAUCCAGAAAUGAGGGAUCGUGUCAGGAAGAGGGAGGAGGAGGAUAACAAAAUGAUGGUAUUCGUUUUCCCUGCACUACAUUUGAUAAAGACCGAUGGAGUUGCUCUUAGGGAGUGGAGGAUUCCACGUCAUACAUCAUCACUAACAGGCAAGAUGUUUGUUAAAGAGUUACUCGAAGGGCACGUCAAAAACUGUCGAGUAGCAUUUAGGAUGGAGCCGCAUAUCUUCAAAUCUUUGGCUAAUUAUCUUCGAAGGGAGAAGUUGGUGUCUGAUACCAGAAUUAAAGUCGAAGAGAAACUAGCAUCAUUUUUGUGGAUGUUAUCCCAUAAUUCUUCAUUUGAAGACCUUCAAGUUCGGCUUGGUCACAGCGGGGAUACUUUCCAUUGGCAAAUGAAGAAUUUCUUUGACAUCAUCCCUACUCUCUCCAAGCAUUUUUUGAAGCCUCCAAAUCCCAGUCAAGUGCAUCCGAAGAUUCCGUCGGACACGAGAUUAUUUCCUUAUUUUCAGAACUGCAUUGGGGCAAUUUAUGGGACACAUGUUCCCAUAACAAUUUCAGGAGAAAAGGCCGCACCAUCCAGAAAUUAG